rnacentral:antisense_RNA from 1 species
CUUCACCGAGCCCAGCCAGAGGGGGCGUUCGCGCGGCUCGUGUCCGUAGGUCGCCAGGAACGCCUCGGCCUC